GACGAACGCUGGCGGCGUGCUUAACACAUGCAAGUCGAGCGAAAGGAUUCCCUUCGGGGAUGAAUUUAGCGGCGGACGGGUGAGUAACACGUGGGCAACCUGCCUUAUAGAGGGGGAUAGCCUUCCGAAAGGAAGAUUAAUACCGCAUAACAUCAGACUAUCGCAUGGUAGACUGAUCAAAGGAGCAAUCCGCUAUAAGAUGGGCCCGCGUCGCAUUAGCUAGUUGGUGAGGUAACGGCUCACCAAGGCGACGAUGCGUAGCCGACCUGAGAGGGUGAUCGGCCACAUUGGGACUGAGACACGGCCCAGACUCCUACGGGAGGCAG
rnacentral:rRNA from 1 species